CUUAGUUGCCAUCAUUAAGUUGGGCACUCUAAGUUGACUGCCGGUGACAAACCGGAGGAAGGUGGGGAUGACGUCAAAUCAUCAUGCCCCUUAUGAUUUGGGCUACACACGUGCUACAAUGGACAAUACAAAGGGCAGCGAAACCGUGAGGUCAAGCAAAUCCCAUAAAGUUGUUCUCAGUUCGGAUUGUAGUCUGCAACUCGACUACAUGAAGCUGGAAUCGCUAGUAAUCGUAGAUCAGCAUGCUACGGUGAAUACGUUCCCGGGUCUUGUACACACCGCCCGUCACACCACGAGAGUUUGUAACACCCGAAGCCGGUGGAGUAACCUUUUAGGAGCUAGCCGUCGAAGGUGGGACAAAUGAUUGGGGUGAAGUCGUAACAAGGUAGCCGUAUCGGAAGGUGCGGCUGGAUCACCUCCUUU
rnacentral:rRNA from 1 species